AACUUUUGGCAACGGAUCUCUUGGCUCUCGCAUCGAUGAAGAACGCAGCGAAAUGCGAUAAGUAAUGUGAAUUGCAGAAUUCAGUGAAUCAUCGAAUCGUUGAACGCACCUUGCGCCCUUUGGCUAUUCCGAAGGGCAUGCCUGUUGGAGUAUCAUGAACACCUCAACUCUCAUGGCUUGCCAUGAUGAGCUUGGACUCUGGGGGUCUUGCUGGCUCAUGGUCAUCUCCUCUUCAAUCCAUCCGCCUUCCACUGUUUGGUCGCAUCACAGGUGUGAUAACUAUCUACGCUCGUGGUGUCCUCCCAGGUAACCUUCAGUGAUGGAGGUCGCUGGAGCUAAUAAAUGCACAUCCCUCAUUGUAGAGCUGCCCUUUUAGAUGUUUGACCUCAAAUCAGGUAGGACUACCCGCUGAACUUAAGCAUAUCAAUAAGCGGAGGC
rnacentral:misc_RNA from 1 species